GUGUCAGCAGCCGCGGUAAUACAGAGGGUGCAAGCGUUAAUCGGAUUUACUGGGCGUAAAGCGUGUGUAGGUGGUGGCGUAAGUCGAUUGUGAAAUCCCCGGGCUCAACCUGGGAACUGCUUUCGAUACUGCGUCACUAGAGUACGGUAGAGGGUGGUGGAAUUUCCGGUGUAGCGGUGAAAUGCGUAGAUAUCGGAAGGAACAUCAAUGGCGAAGGCAACCACCUGGGCCUGUACUGACACUGAGACACGAAAGCGUGGGGAUCAAACAGGAUUAGAUACCCUGGUAGUCCACGCCGUAAACGAUGACAACUUGACGUUGGUUUGCUUAGCGAAUCAGUGUCGUAGCUAACGCGAUAAGUUGUCCGCCUGGGGAGUACGGCCGCAAGGUUGAAACUUAAAGGAAUUGGCGGGG
rnacentral:rRNA from 1 species